UGCCCUAGUAACGGCGAGUGAAGCGGCAACAGCUCAAAUUUGAAAGCUGGCCUUCGGGUCCGCAUUGUAAUUUGUAGAGGAUGCUUUGGGGCAGCCGCCUGUCUAAGUUCCUUGGAACAGGACGUCAUAGAGGGUGAGAAUCCCGUAUGUGACAGGACAUGGCACCCUAUGUAAAGCUCCUUCGACGAGUCGAGUUGUUUGGGAAUGCAGCUCUAAAUGGGAGGUAAAUUUCUUCUAAAGCUAAAUAUUGGCGAGAGACCGAUAGCGCACAAGUAGAGUGAUCGAAAGAUGAAAAGCACUUUGGAAAGAGAGUUAAAAAGCACGUGAAAUUGUUGAAAGGGAAGCGCUUGCAAUCAGACUUGUUUAAACUGUUCGGCCGGUCUUCUGACCGGUUUACUCAGUUUGGACAGGCCAGCAUCAGUUUCGGCGGCCGGAUAAAGGCUCUGGGAAUGUGGCCUCCACUUCGGUGGAGGUGUUAUAGCCCAGGGUGUAAUACGGCCAGCCGGGACUGAGGUCCGCGCUUCGGCUAGGAUGCUGGCGUAAUGGUUGUAAGCGACCCGUCUUGAA
rnacentral:rRNA from 1 species